UAAGCGGAGGAAAAGAAACUAACAAUGAUUCCCUUAGUAACGGCGAGUGAAGGGGGAAAAGCUCAAAUUUUAAAUCGGCAUAGGUUUACCUAGUCGAGUUGUAAUUUGAAGAAGCGUUUACCGCAUCCAGGUCGGCCCAAAUCCUUUGGGAUAAGGUAUCAUGGAGGGUGAGAAUCCCGUCCGGUUGACCUCAGGAUGUUUUACGUUACGCUCUCUAAGAGUCGAGUUGUUUGGGAUUGCAGCUCAAAAUGGGAGGUAAAUUUCUCCUAAGGCUAAAUACAGGCGAGAGACCGAUAGCGAACAAGUACCGUGAGGGAAAGAUGAAAAGAACUUUGAAAAGAGAGUUAAAUAGUACGUGAAAUUGUUGAUAGGGAAACGAUUGAAGUCAGUCAUGCCGGUGGAAAAUCAACUUAUGGACUACUAUGAGUGCACUUUUUCGCAAGGCAGGUUAACAUCGGUUUUUGUUGCGUCAUAAUGAUUGUAGGAAGGUGGCUCCUUCGGGAGUGUUAUAGCCUACUUUAGAUGGCGCGACGAGGACUGAGGAUUGCAGCGAAUGCCUUGGCUACGGAUCUUUUCUCUGUUGAUCUUCAGUCGGUUGUCAGCUUGCUGACGAUCGGCUGAUAGGUUUGCAAUAGGAUGGAAUUCGAUAAAUUCGCUAAGGAUGUUGACGUAAUGGCUUUAAAUCGACCCGUCUUGAAACACGGACCAAGGAGUCUAAGCAUAUAUGCGAGUGUUA
rnacentral:rRNA from 1 species